GUCCACGCCCUAAACGAUGUCAACUAACUGUUCGGAGUCACUAAGAUUCUGAGUAGUGAAGCUAACGCGAUAAGUUGACCGCCUGGGGAGUACGGCCGCAAGGUUGAAACUCAAAGAAAUUGACGGGGGCCCCGCACAAGCGGUGGAGUAUGUGGUUUAAUUCGAUGCAACGCGAAGAACCUUACCCGGUCUUGACAUGGUAGGAAUCUUGUAGAUAUACGAGAGUGCCUUCGGGAACCUACACACAGGUGCUGCACGGCUGUCGU
rnacentral:rRNA from 1 species